GCCUUCAAAAACAUGUAUAUAUUAAGCGGCUCUUUAACUUCUUUUGUCUGCGCUCCGAGCCCCGCGCAUCCCUGGCCCCGCUCUGCCCGCCCGCGAUUGGCAGAGCCCUCACCACACUUCGGCGGCGCGCUGGGGAAUACGGCUCGGACACCGCGCCGGAGGGAUUGGACGGACGGCGAUGAUUGGCAGCGGCCGGGGCCCCGCGAUUGGCUCCCUUUCAGGCCGCCGGCGCAGCGGGGAUCCGCCCCCGCCGCCCCCCCGGGCCCCCCCGCGCCGCCCCCCGAAGUUGCACUCGCAAAACUUCGCGGGGCCCGACGGGCGCGCCCGGCGCCUCCCCCGCCGCCCCCCGCCGGCAGCACCGGGCAGCAGCAGCCGCCUCCGCUCCCCGGGCACCGGACGGGGCGCCCCGCUCAGGUGCUCCGCCGUGUUUACGUUUGCGGGGCCGUGGGGUUUCUCUCCUCGCCUGGCGGCGCGGCUGCUGCCCGGCUCUGCGCUCAGUUCCCUUAUCUUUUUUAUUUUUUUUUGGAGGGCCGCGUUCAUUCAUGGAUGAGGCGGGAAAGCGCUCCCUCCUGCAACAAUGUGCGCAACCCCACGCCCACGCGAGGCCGAGCCUGCUGUUGGUGCCCCUGGGAAUGCCUUGAGCUCCCGGGCUCAUGGAAAGUGCAGCCAAGCUGGCUGCCCUUGCCUGCCUGCGGGGCAGCCAGGGACUCUCCUCCGCCUCUCCGGGAGAGGAAACGGGGCAGGGGACGCCAGCGGACCCACACGCACCUCCGGCUCUCCCCGGCCACCGAAUCCCCUUGACGAAACUACAUCUAUGCGUCUUGGCCGCUUCCCCGUGCCAAGCCACGUUCAAAGGAAGCCCCGUGCUGGUCCGGCAUUUCCUGGGCCAGGCUUCAGGCUCUCCCUCCUCUGCCCCUCGCGGGGGAAAAUCUCGCAGGAUUUGGCCCACGGCUGCCAAAAGGGGGGCGAGAGGCUCUAGGGGGAGCUCAAGGGAGAGAGAGAGACCCGCCGGUUCCCUCCCUUCUCUCCCCCACGGGAGACGAGCCAGUGCUCCCGGCUCGUGUGGCAGCCGCGGGAGUUUCAGUGAUGCUGCAAGGCAAGGAAUGGGAAUAAAUGAUCCCUGGGUUUUUAAAA